UUCUGGGACUGUGGGGCUUUCCAGCUACAUGAAUAGACAGCACUGGCUCCUCCUGGUAUAUUCAAGGGCUAGGAUUCAGGAGCAAACUGACCUGGCAGGACUUUAAGUCCAUCCUUAUCCUGCUAGCUCGGUGGUUUUGAUUGGGAAGCAUUAGUUCUUCCCUUGGCAGAAUUAGGGGCUGAGGUCCAAGUCUGGAGGUUGUGGUUGGUAUGAGAUGGUGAGCUUAAGGUGUGUUCAUGGUUGGGGAAGCCUUCAACCCUUCCUGGUACAGUUGGUGAAACUGGAGUCCAAGCCAUGCAAUUGACUGGAAUUGAUUGCCUUACGUGCUCAGCAGUGGCUAGUUUCUAUGGCUACAUAUUUAUGAACAAACCAUAGUGUGAAGAAUUAAUGGUUUGCUUGGAGAGAAAGGAAGUGAACACAUGAUGAUGAUAAAAGUAUGCUGAUGAGCACGGGCCCUGAGUUCCUCAGGUGAAAGCACUGCUUGUUCGCUCUUCCCCCAGAUCCCAGCCUUGCUGCCGAACCUCACAGGCAGGUCAUGGCCUCCUGGUUUGUGAGAAUUGAGCCUUGUGUCAGGAUUCUCUGUCUCCCUCUCUCUCUGUCCUUUCCC